rnacentral:rRNA from 1 species
AUUGAACGCUGGCGGCAUGCUUUACACAUGCAAGUCGAACGGCAGCGCGGGCUUCGGCCUGGCGGCGAGUGGCGAACGGGUGAGUAAUACAUCGGAACGUGCCCAGUAGUGGGGGAUAGCUCGGCGAAAGCCGGAUUAAGACCGCAUACGACCUGAGGGUGAAAGCGGGGGAUCUUCGGACCUCGCGCUAUUUUAGCGGCCGAUGGCAGAUUAGCUAGUUGGUGGGGUAAAGGCCUACCAAGGCGACGAUCGGUAGCUGGUAUGAGAGGACGACCAGCCACACUGGGACUGAGACACGGCCCAGACUCCUACGGGAGGCAGCAGUGGGGAAUUUUGGACAAUGGGCGAAAGCCUGAUCCAGCAAUGCCGCGUGUGUGAUGAAGGCCUUCGGGUUGUAAAGCACUUUUGGCGGGAAGGAAAAGGACUGUGCCAAUACCACGGUUCGAUGACGGUACCCGCAGAAUAAGCACCGGCUAACUACGUG